rnacentral:rRNA from 1 species
CUGCCGGUGACAAACCGGAGGAAGGUGGGGAUGACGUCAAGUCCUCAUGGCCCUUAUGGGUAGGGCUUCACACGUCAUACAAUGGUACAUACAGAGGGCCGCCAACCCGCGAGGGGGAGCUAAUCCCAGAAAGUGUAUCGUAGUCCGGAUUGCAGUCUGCAACUCGACUGCAUGAAGUUGGAAUCGCUAGUAAUCGCGGAUCAGCAUGUCGCGGUGAAUACGUUCCCGGGUCUUGUACACACCGCCCGUCACACCAUGGGAGCGGGUUUUACCAGAAGUAGGUAGCUUAACCGUAAGGAGGGCGCUUACCACGGUAGGAUUCGUGACUGGGGUGAAGUCG